GAUGAACGCUGACAGAAUGCUUAACACAUGCAAGUCUACUUGAUUCUACUUCGGUAGUUGAUGGUGGCGGACGGGUGAGUAACGCGUAAAGAAUCUGCCCUUUAGUUUGGGAUAACCUUUGGAAACGAAGGCUAAUACCGGAUAUUAUGGAGACGUCGCAUGGCGACUCCAUGAAAACUAUAUGCGCUAGAGGAGGACUUUGCGUCCCAUUAGUUAGUUGUUGAGGUAAUGGGUCACCAAGACCGCGAUGGGUAGCCGGCCUGAGAGGGUGAUCGGCCACAAGGGAACUGAGACACGGUCCUUACUCCUACGGGAGGCAGCAGUGGGGAAUAUUGGACAAUGGGCCACAAGCCUGAUCCAGCAAUUCUGUGUGCACGAUGAAGGUCUACGGAUUGUAAAGUGCUUUCAGUAGGGAAGAAAAAAAUGACGGUACCUACAGAAGAAGCGACGGCUAAAUAUGUGCCAGCAGCCGCAGUAA
rnacentral:rRNA from 1 species